AUUGAACGCUGGCGGCAUGCCUUACACAUGCAAGUCGAACGGUAACGCGGGGCAACCUGGCGACGAGUGGCGAACGGGUGAGUAAUGCAUCGGAACGUGCCCAGUAGUGGGGGAUAGCCCGGCGAAAGCCGGAGUAAUACCGCAUACGACCUACGGGUGAACGCGGGGGAUCGCAAGACCUCGCGCUAUUGGAGCGGCCGAUGUCAGAUUAGGUAGUUGGUGGGGUAAAGGCCUACCAAGCCUUCGAUCUGUAGCUGGUCUGAGAGGACGACCAGCCACACUGGGACUGAGACACGGCCCAGACUCCUACGGGAGGCAGCAGUGGGGAAUUUUGGACAAUGGGCGCAAGCCUGAUCCAGCCAUGCCGCGUGCGGGAAGAAGGCCCUCGGGUUGUAAACCGCUUUUGUCAGGGAAGAAACACUCUGGGCUAAUACCUCAGGGUAAUGACGGUACCUGAAGAAUAAGCACCGGCUAACUACGUGCCAGCAGCCGCAGUAA
rnacentral:rRNA from 1 species